GGCUGGGAAAAAGACAAAGAAUCUGGCAUGGGCUGGACCACCCAUAGUGGGUUUAGGAGACAGACUGACUGUCCAGGAAAGGGUUACAGGAAAAGCUAUGAGACAGGCCAAGCUGGAAGAUGAGCUGGGCUGCAUGAUUUGGCUGGAAGGGCCCAUCAUGAAGAACCCUGUCCCAGAAGGGGAAGCUGAGGUGUGGAGCACAAGGACCCAGAGAAGGCCAAGACUAGAGCUGAACAUCCAGAAACUGCAUUAGAGAGACUGCUCCUGAGAUACUUCCAGCUGAGACUAGAAAUGAAAGCAAUCUCAUGAGGAACAUCUAUUCUCUGGAGGUUUCUACAGGCGAAUGGAGAACUGGGACACAGGAAAGCCAGUUUAUUUUAAAACCAGACAACUGACU